AACCACCUGGCGUUCCCGCCCCCUACAACUGGAGUUUCGUAAGGAGUUGUGUAAGGAUGGUAAUUACCUCUCAGCCACGCUACAGGGAACAACAUCCUAGACCAGGAGCGGAAUAGACAACACAGCCCAGAGUUGAGACGAUAUGUAUCCCAACGGCAGGAAAACAGCGGCUGAAAGUCAGAUUGUAUCAGCGGAGAUCGUUUCUGGACUUUUGCUGACCAUUUUAUACAGGAUCAUUUCCAAGAACAUUUUUCCACAGGGGGAAAAAAUUCGGAUGGAUGGAGAACCCUUUGAAAUGACGCGGUCACUGGUGUGUGUGUGGCUGGCCAGCAACGUGAAAUUUCUACUCUUCAAAAGUAACAAGGCAGUGUCACUGACCGAGCAUUCCACAUCCAGGCUCAUGGCGUCCCUUGCACUGCUCGUUGGCACCUGCUGGGAAAAUGGAACCAGUGGAAUGUCCUCAAACCAUAUCCCUGGGCUGGACCUGCUGGUGUUCUCCUGCUUCAUCCUCAGCAGCUUCAUCCUGAUGGCCCUGGACCACAGGCAGAGGAAGAGGACCAUAGACAUGCGUGUGAUCUUCAGCGACGCGCAGAAGAUGAGGACCAUAGACGUGCGUGUGAUCUUCAGCGACGCGCAGAGGUUCUUCCUCCACAUGGACUUCUUCGCGACCUUCAUGUUUGGCCUGCUGUGGUUGGUCUUCCCUGAUUGGCUACUUGGGAGCCAGUACGUGAGCGGCUGUCAUGACGACCUGCCCCUGCCCUUGCACCUGACACGAGCCUUUGGAGCCAUGAUGGUGGGGGACAGCUUCGUCUCACUCACCUCACCCAACCCCCACGUGAGCAAAGACAGAGCAUCACUCUUCAGCAGCAGAGCUGUGGGUACCCUGGUACUGCUGAUGUAUCUGCUCCACUCCCACUUCAUCACGGCCUCCUGGACCUCUGGGCGGGUCUGGAUGGGUCUGCUGGGGGCUGGGAUCUGGGCUGGUAACUCUGUCCUGGGAUACCUCGCCUCCAGAGGGCGCUCUCCCUCACAGAGAGUUCAGUAACAGCUGUGGGUAUAGAGAUCAUAUAUAAAUAAUGCGCGCGCGUGUGUGUGUGUGUGUGUGUGUGUGUGUGUGUGACCGUGAUAUGGUCAUUUGGGCAUUUUGACUUCUACGACAGUCAUGGCACAGCAGAGAAGAGGAGCAGAGAAGUUGAUUUUGGAGAAUAUCUUACAAUGUGUUGCACAUUAUCUUAGCCAUUGUGAUGCAGUACAAUCCCAGCUAAAAUCUGGACCUUAUUCCUACCAGAAGGCCAGAUCCAAUUGAUUGUUGAGUGUCAGAUUCGGGUCAUGUCAGUGCCGGAUCAGGUUCAUAUCAGUGCCAAAUUAGGGCCAUAACUUUGCCAGAAUAUGGCCAUUUCAGUUCUGGAUCAGGGCCGUAUCUGUGCUGUAUCAGGGCCGUAUCUGUGCCGGAUCAGGGCCGUAUCUGUGCCGGAUCAGGGCCGUAUCUGUGCUGUAUCAGGGCCGUAUCAGGGCCGUAUCUGUUCUGGAUCAGGGCCUAUCUGUGCCUAAACCCCUCUAGAGUCCAGUCCCUCUAGUCUAGUGGGACUAGAUACGUUAGAGCGCUGUUCCUCCGUGCAACACAGGUAGCCCUUGCCUUUAUGUGGAUAUUAAGCUGCUAUUUUUCAGAAUGUGUAUGGUUGGUGGUUGUUUACAACCAUUCAUUUGUAAAUAUGUUCAAAGCUUGAAUUUGUUUUUAUUGCUAUAAGAUGAGUUUAUAUUAACAUAUGGUGUUACUGUGAUGAAGAGCCAUGUCAGAAAUGCUAUUUAAUUUGUAA
ensembl:lncRNA